rnacentral:tRNA from 1 species
GGGCCUCUAGCUCAAUCGGUUAGAGCAGCAGACUCAUAAUCUGUUGGUUCGGGGUUCAAGUCCCCGGGGGCCCACCA